UGGAGCAUCAGGUAAUGUUUUCCAGAGAGUUUGAAUAUAGCUCCAGAUUGAACGCUGGCGGGAUGCUUUACACAUGCAAGUCGAACGGCAGCACGGACUUUGAUCUGGUGGCGAGUGGCGAACGGGUGAGUGUAUCGGAACGUGCCUAGUAGCGGGGGAUAACUGCGAAAGCGUAGCUAAUACCGCAUACGCCCUUCGGGAAACAGGACCUUCAGACUCACUAUUAAACAGCCGAUAUCGGAUUAGCUAGUUGGUGGGGUAACGGCUCCGCAAGGCGACGAUCCGUAGCUGGUUUGAGAGGACGACCAGCCACACUGGGACUGAGACACGGCCCAGACUCUACGGGAGGCAGCAGUGGGGAAUUUUGGACAAUGGGGAAGCCCUGAUCAUGCAUCCCGCGUGUGCGAUGAAGGCCAUGGGUUCACGUAAACACUUUUGGCAGGAAAGAAACGGCACGGGAUAAUACCCCGUGCAACUGACCAAUACCCAGAAUAAAGCACCAGCUAACUACGUGCCAGCAGCCGCCAUGAUAUGUGGGUGCAAGCGUUAAUCGGAAUUACUGGGCGUAAAGCGUGCGCAGGCGGUUCGGAAAGAAGAUGCGAAAUCCCAGAGCUUAACUUUGGAACUACAUUUUUAACUACCGAGCUAGAGUGUGUCAGAGGGAGGUGGAAUUCCGCGUGUAGCAGUGAAAUGCGUAGAUAUGCGGAGGAACACCGAUGGCGAAGGCCUCCUGGGAUAGCCACUGACGCCAUGCACGAAAGCAUUGGGAGCAAACAGGAUUAGAUACCCUGGUAGUCUACGCCCUAAACGAUGUCAACUAGCUGUUGGGGCCUUCGGGCCUUGGUAGCGCAACUAACGCGUGAGAUUGACCUGCAGAGUGUUGAUCGCAAGAUUAAAACUCAAGAUUGACUGGGGACCCAUGCAAGCGGUGGAUGAUGCUGGGUUAAUUAUUUGACACGCCGAAGAGCCUGCCUGCCAUGGCUGUGUCCAAGAUCCCGAAGAAAGUUUAGGGUGCUCACAAAGAACAGUUUGGGUGCAUGGCUGUCGUCGUUAGCUCGUCGUGAGAUGUUGGGUUAAGUCCCGCAUGCCGAGCUGUAUGCGUCGAUCAGUUGCUGGGGCACUCGUGGACUGCCAGUGACAAACCGGAGGAAGGUGGGGAUGACGUCAAGUCUCAUGGCCCUUAUGGGUAGGGCUUCACACGAUCGUGCCAGUGGUCAGGACAGAGGGUCGCCAACGCGAGGAGGAGCCAAUCCAGAAACCCGAUCGUAGUCGGAUCGCGUCGCUAUCGUUGCGUGAAGUCGGAAUCGCUAGUAAUCGCGGAUAAGCAUGUCGCGGUGAAUACGUUCCCGGGUCUUGUACACACCGCCCGUCACACCAUGGGAGUGGGUUUUACCGAAGUAGUUAGCCUAACCGUAAGGAGGGCGAUUACCACGGUAGGAUUCAUGACUGGGGUGAAGUCGUAACAAGGCG
rnacentral:rRNA from 1 species